rnacentral:rRNA from 1 species
AGAUUGAACGCUGGCGGCAGGCCUAACACAUGCAAGUCGAGCGGUAGAGAGGUGCUUGCAUCUCUUGAGAGCGGCGGACGGGUGAGUAAUGCCUAGGAAUCUGCCUAGUGGUGGGGAUAACGUUCGGAAACGGACGCUAAUACCGCAUACGUCCGUACGGGAGAAAGGCGGGGGUACCUUCGGGCCUCGCGUCCAUUAGGAUUGAGUCCUAGGUCGGAUUAGCGUAGGUUGGUAGAAGUAAUCGGCUACACCAAGGCGACGAUCCG